rnacentral:rRNA from 1 species
GUUGAACGCUGGCGGCGGGCCUAACACAUGCAAGUCGAGCGGAUGAAGGGAGCUUGCUCCUGGAUUCAGCGGCGGACGGGUGAGUAAUGCCUAGGAAUCUGCCUGGUAGUGGGUAUAGCGUCCGGCAACGGGCGCUAAUACCGCAUACGUCCUGACUGCGGAUGUGGGGGGUCUUCUGACCUCACUCUGUCAGAUGAGCCUAGGUCGGAUGAGCUAGUUGGUGGGGUAAAGACCUACCAAGUCGACGAUCCGUAACUUAUCUGAGAGGAUGAUCAGUCACACGGGAAGUGAGACAGCGUCAAGAGUACUACGGGACGGAGCAGAGGGCAAUAGUGGACAACGGGGGAAAGUAUGAUACAGUGAUGCCGCGUGUGUGAAGAAGGUCUUCGGAUCGUGAAGAACGUUUAGUGGGGAGGAAGGGCAGUAAGUUAAGACCUUGCUGGUUUGACGUUAACAACAGAAUAAGCACCGGCUAACUUCGUG